rnacentral:rRNA from 1 species
UCUACCUACGGGGGGCAGCAGUAGGGAAUUUUCGUCAAUGGGGGAAACCCUGAACGAGCAAUGCCGCGUGAGUGAAGAAGGCCUUCGGGUCGUAAACCUCUUUUGUCAGGGAACAAAGACUGGGACGCGUCCCCGGAUGAGUGUACCUGAAGAAAAAGCAUCGGCUAACUCCGUGCCAGCAGCCGCGGUAAUACGUAGGUGGCAAGCGUUAUCCGGAUUUAUUGGGCGUAAAGGGAACGCAGGCGGUCUUUUAAGUCUGAUGUGAAAGCCUUCGGCUUAACCGGAGUAGGGCAUUGGAAACUGGG